rnacentral:rRNA from 1 species
GACAAACGCUGGCGGCGUACCUAAGACAUGCAAGUCGAACGAGCUAUGAUCCUUCGGGGUGAUAGCGAGUGGCGGACGGGUGAGUAACGCGUAGGAACCUGACGCACAGUGGGGAUAACGCUGGGAACUGGCGCUAAGACCGCAUGUGGUCCGGAAACGGAAGAAAGCCAUUCACGAAAGUGGGUGGUGCUGUGUGAGGGGCCUGCGUCCGAUUA